rnacentral:lncRNA from 1 species
GGACGGCGUGGCGGUUGACGACAUUAAUGGUGGAAAAAAGCUGAGCAGCAGGGGGUAUAGCAUCCCCGGUGGCGGUAGGAGCAUCAACGGAAGCAGAAGCACCGCGACCAGGUUGGGGUGGGAGGUGUCCCUGGGUCCCAUAUCCUUGCUGCUUGUAAUCCUCCAAGUCCUUGUACUGCGUGUAGGGACUAGUAUUCACUGGCCCUCCCUUCUCUUCCUUGCCUUUUCUCUCCAUUUUGCCCUCCACCUUUAUUAUUACCACUUCUAUUUGCCCCCAAAAAAAAAAAUUUACUUUUUUUCUGUCGAAUUUUUCAGGGCUUCAAAUUGAUAUAGCUGAUCACUAGGUGGAUUGCUCUUUGAUUGAUUUUUGUGAAUUCGAGAAAUUCGUAUUAUAUGGCUUCUCUAUUUCGGCCUGCCGUUGCCACGAGUCAUUGACGUGUUAGGUGUUGAGGAAAGGGAGGCUAGAGUCACGUUGAGCCGCCAAUUCCACCGGGGGGAAUGCUUCUUGGUCUCUGCAUCUGCACUAAUCCCGAGCUUUUGGUUUGGACAUUAACCAAAUUUUGGGGGCUCACAGCCCUUUGUGCAGGUACUGAAUCGCACUUGUACGGAUUUCUGUCUUUGGCCCAAAUAUUCAGAGAGAGGUAUCUGCGGCUGUUUCAGGGUUUCGUCCUUAUCA